GUCGACGCUGAAGCCUGGUGCUUGCACCGGGUGGAUGAGUGGCGAACGGGUGAGUAACACGUGAGUAACCUGCCCCUGACUUCGGGAUAAGCCCGGGAAACUGGGUCUAAUACCGGAUACGACCGUCGGACGCAUGUCUGGUGGUGGAAAGUUUUUUCGGUUGGGGAUGGGCUCGCGGCCUAUCAGUUUGUUGGUGAGGUAAUGGCUCACCAAGACGACGACGGGUAGCCGGCCUGAGAGGGCGACCGGCCACACUGGGACUGAGACACGGCCCAGACUCCUACGGGAGGCAGCAGUGGGGAAUAUUGCACAAUGGGGGAAACCCUGAUGCAGCGACGCAGCGUGCGGGAUGACGGCCUUCGGGUUGUAAACCGCUUUCAGCAGGGAAGAAGCGCAAGUGACGGUACCUGCAGAAGAAGUACCGGCUAACUACGUGCCAGCAGCCGCGGUAAUACGUAGGGUACGAGCGUUGUCCGGAAUUAUUGGGCGUAAAGAGCUCGUAGGUGGUUGGUCACGUCUGCUGUGGAAACGCAACGCUUAACGUUGCGCGUGCAGUGGGUACGGGCUGACUAGAGUGCAGUAGGGGAGUCUGGAAUUCCUGGUGUAGCGGUGAAAUGCGCAGAUAUCAGGAGGAACACCGGUGGCGAAGGCGGGACUCUGGGCUGUAACUGACACUGAGGAGCGAAAGCAUGGGGAGCGAACAGGAUUAGAUACCCUGGUAGUCCAUGCCGUAAACGUUGGGCACUAGGUGUGGGGGGCAUUCCACGUUCUCCGCGCCGUAGCUAACGCAUUAAGUGCCCCGCCUGGGGAGUACGGUCGCAAGGCUAAAACUCAAAGGAAUUGACGGGGGCCCGCACAAGCGGCGGAGCAUGCGGAUUAAUUCGAUGCAACGCGAAGAACCUUACCAAGGCUUGACAUACACCAGACCGUCCUGGAAACAGGUCCUCUUCUUUGAAGCUGGUGUACAGGUGGUGCAUGGUUGUCGUCAGCUCGUGUCGUGAGAUGUUGGGUUAAGUCCCGCAACGAGCGCAACCCUCGUUCUAUGUUGCCAGCACGUGAUGGUGGGAACUCAUAGGAGACUGCCGGGGUCAACUCGGAGGAAAGGUGGGGAUGACGUCAAAUCAUCAUGCCCUU
rnacentral:rRNA from 1 species